GAUGAACGCUAGCGGCAGGCUUAAUACAUGCAAGUCGAGGGGCAGCAUGACUGUAGCAAUACAGUUGAUGGCGACCGGCAAACGGGUGCGGAACACGUACGCAACCUACCCAAAACUGAGGAAUAGCCCGGGGAAACCCGGAUUAAUACCUCGUAACAUAAUUGAAUGGCAUCAUUUAAUUAUUAAAGCUCCGGUGGUUUUGGAUGGGCGUGCGCCUGAUUAGGUAGUUGGUAGGGAACGGCCUACCAAGCCAACGAUCAGUAACUGGUGUGAGAGCACGACCAGUCACACGGGCACUGAGACACGGGCCCCGACUCCUACGGGAGGCAGCAGUAAGGAAUAUUGCGCAAUGGGGGAAACCCUGACGCAGCGACGCCGCGUGUGGGAUGAC
rnacentral:rRNA from 1 species